UUUCUCUUUGUUAAAAAAUAAAAAUAAAAAAUAAAAAAAACUAGUUUCUUGCUCAGCAAGACGCUUCUAGAGCACAAUAUAUUGCAGAUUAGUACACCGUUCCACGUUUUCUAUACAACAAGCAAACCAAUUUGGCCCUCAAAAUUAUUCAUUAUUCCCCAUUAAUCUCGUUUGCUUUAGGUUGACAUGGAAGCCCAGAAGAGUGAAUCUGCAACGAAACCUUCUACAAGUGCACCUGCUGCAGCAGCCACUUCAUGCCGGAAGAAGAAGAGCGAAGAAGCAGCUUUCCUUGAGGAUAUAAAGGACCACAUUGACGAGUUUGUCCAUGCCUCAAUGGAUGAACACAAGGAAUGCUUCAAAAAAAACCAUCAAUAAGAUGUUUGGGUUGUCAAGGAAAGUUGCAGAGAAAGAAAAGAAUGCUGAACAGCAGGAAGUCGAAAGUGUUCUGCCUCUUCAGACAACAAUUUCAAACUAGACUGAUAAUCAUUAAUUGCAGAGUAGUUUAUGGUUUCUUAUCUUUCAGAUACAGUAUGGAACGGCUCAUAGUUUAGAAUGGAGGUGUAUGGUGUUCUUUGCUUGCUCUAUGAUCACUACACUGGUUUAAUGUUUAUAUAUAUUGUCUAAAUCCUAAAUGUGAAUGAUGUUUCUACUUGGAGUUGAUGGCAGAUUAAUAAAGAGUGUUACUAAUA